CGAACCCAAGUCAAGGGGGAUAAUCCAGUAAUUUUAAGCAUACCAGUAAGUGGAGGAAAGAAAACUUACACAGAUUUUCUUUGUAAUGAUAAGAAAAUCGAGAAUAGCCGAGCCUUAGAAUCGGGUGGCUUUAUCAUCUAAAUUGUAGUCUAGACAAGUGUCCUCAGAGGUGGAUCAAGCCUAAGUCCCUUGGAAGUGGGCACCAGAGAGGGUGAUAGCCCCAUUGUUCCCAGACCAUUUCAAAGCAUGAGGCACUAUCUACGAGUUGGGUUGUUUGGAAAUGCAGCCCAAAUCGGGGGAUGAAUUUCAUCCAAGGCUAAAUACAAGUGUGACACUGAUAGAGAAAAAUUAUCAUGAGGCAAAGAUAAAAAAACUUUGAAUAGAGAGUUAAAAAGUGUUUGAAAUUAUUAG
rnacentral:ncRNA from 1 species